rnacentral:rRNA from 1 species
AUUGAACGCUGGCGGCAGGCCUAACACAUGCAAGUCGAACGAGUGGCGGACGGGUGAGUAAUGUCUGGGAAACUGCCUGAUAGAGGGGGAUAACUACUGGAAACGGUGGCUAAUACCGCAUACUAUCGGAUGUGCCCAGAUGGGAUGAGCUAGUAGGUGGGGUAACGGCUCACCUAGGCGACGAUCCAUAGAUGGUCUGAGAGGAUGACCAGCCACACUGGGACUGAGACACGGCCCAGACUCCUACGGGAGGCAGCAGUGGGGAAUAUUGCACAAUGGGCGCAAGCCUGAUGCAGCCAUGCCGCGUGUGUGAAGAAGGCCUUAGGGUUGUAAAGCACUUUCAGCGGGGAGGCGUUACCCGCAGAAGAAGCACCGGCUAACUCCGUGCCAGCAGCCGCGGUAAUUC